rnacentral:rRNA from 1 species
AUUGAACGCUGGCGGCAGGCCUAACACAUGCAAGUCGAGCGGAUGAAGGGAGCUUGCUCCUGGAUUCAGCGGCGGACGGGUGAGUAAUGCCUAGGAAUCUGCCUGGUAGUGGGGGAUAACGUCCGGAAACGGGCGCUAAUACCGCAUACGUCCUGAGGGAGAAAGUGGGGGAUCUUCGGACCUCACGCUAUCAGAUGAGCCUAGGUCGGAUUAGCUAGUUGGUGGGGUAAAGGCCUACCAAGGCGACGAUCCGUAACUGGUCUGAGAGGAUGAUCAGUCACACUGGAACUGAGACACGGUCCAGACUCCUACGGGAGGCAGCAGUGGGGAAUAUUGGACAAUGGGCGAAAGCCUGAUCCAGCCAUGCCGCGUGUGUGAAGAAGGUCUUCGGAUUGUAAAGCACUUUAAGUUGGGAGGAAGGGCAGUAAGUUAAUACCUUGCUGUUUUGACGUUACCAACAGAAUAAGCAACGGCUAACUUCGUG